rnacentral:misc_RNA from 1 species
UACGAUGGGGGCUAGCGUUGCUCGGAAUUACUGGGCGUAAAGGGCGCGUAGGCGGGUCGUUUAGUUAGAGGUGAAAGCCCAGGGCUCAACCCUGGAAUUGCCUUUAAUACUGGCGGCCUUGGGUAUGGCAGAGGUGUGUGGAACUCCGAGUGUAGAGGUGAAAUUCGUAGAUAUUCGGAAGAACACCAGUGGCGAAGGCGACACACUGGGCCAUUACUGACGCUGAGGCGCGAUAGCGUGGGGAUCAAACAGG